rnacentral:rRNA from 1 species
CCUACGGGUGGCAGCAGUGAGGAAUAUUGGUCAAUGGCCGGGAGGCUGAACCAGCCAUGCCGCGUGAAGGUCAGUGCCCUAUGGGCGUGAAACUUCUUUUGUGCUGGAACUAUAAUGGUCACUUGUUGCCAGACGAGAGUACCGUACGAAUAAGCAUCGGCUAACUCCGGUCCAGCAGCCGCGGUAAUACGGGGGAUGCAAGCGUUAUCCGGACUUAUUGGGUUUAAAGGGUGCGUAGGCUGUGAGGUAAGUCAGCGGUGAAAUGCCCGCGCUAAACGGGGUGAAGUGCCAUUGAUACUGGCUGGCUGGAAUGCGGAUGACGUGGGAGGAAUGUGUGGUGUAGCGGUGAAAUGCAUAGAUAUCACGAAGAACCCCGAUUGCGAAGGCAGCCUUCCGGCGCCCUACUGACGCUGAGGCACGAAAGUGCGGGGAUCGAACAGGAUUAGAUACCCUUGUAGUC